CCGUGAGAGAAGGUAUCUACCUUGUACUUGUUGCAAGGAGGAAAGUCUGGACAUCGUGAGGAAAGCACAGAAGAUAACAACUUCGGUUUAAGUAUAUAAAUAUUAAAGCUUAAAUACCACUAGUACCGCAGAGACUAUACUAAUUAGCUUUGGCUAAUAAAAUGUGAAAAGACAUAUGAUGUUAUUUAUUAUUACUGCUUAGCUUGCUUCGCCAGAUAAUUUUUAGCUACAUAUGAAUGACUGUAGUGAUACAGUUUAUUGGUAAACUGUGUGUGAUGCAAUGGGAAUGGUUCUAUAUUAAGAGCAAUUCCUCUAAUUCUAAAUAUAGAAUACUCAGCUUGAUCCAAUGAGUGAUUAUUGGACUAGAUAGAUUGAUACCGAGAUACAGAAUCCGGCUUAUUACUCUCACAUUUAA
rnacentral:RNase_P_RNA from 1 species